GCUUGACAUGGUCUGAGUGCUCACUCUGAAGGCGCCGGGGCAAAGCGGCGCGUCCGGGCACCCAGUUCUUUUGAAGUUAAAAUACAACGCGAACUCUCCAGUGCUAGACAGUGGAUUGAAUGUUAAUUCUGCAAGAAAAAAUUUUAAACGUAAUUUUAUAUUAAUUAAAUAAUGGGCUGUAGUGGAGUUGUUUAUCCAUCCAAAGCAGCCCCAGUUCAGUUUCCUCCUAAUGCCACAAGAUAGGAAGGUCCCUUGGGGCUUCCUGGUAAUGAAUGACCCGAGAGUAACACCACCACAACCUGAGGGAAAAGGAGAGUCGUUUCCCUGACCACGAGAUCUACAGGAUUGAAAUGAAAUGUUUUGAGGUCUUCAAGCUGACUCAGGAUCCUGGAGUAUUUUUAAAAUGACGAAAAAAAAUCAAAUUAUCAAUAAGGAGUCUUUCGACACCAGGCCCUGAUAGGGUUGAGCUGGAUGGUGACUAGCACUUGUCAUUCCCAGCAAGCACAAUGCAGAGAGCAAAUGCAAAGGAAAUGCAAAGGACCUGGACUGUAUUGCAUCUCUUAUAGAAGUGCCUGGCAUAGGAUUGAUAGAUUUUAAUGACUGAAAAUGGAAAUUGAUAAAACAAACAUGUUCAAAAAGAAGACGCCUCUGCUUCAUCCAUUCCCAAAAAGCACUGUGUUGAUCAUAGGUCUAAGAAGUAUUGCCUUGUUCACUUAGUUUUUUAAAAUCUAGGAAAAAUUAAGAAGUGCACCCACUUUACAAGUCUUGUGCCAGCAGGAAAUGAAAGGAAAUGACUUAAGAAUAAUUUUAAAUGUGGAAGGAAAUAACCAGAGGAUGAUGACUAUGAAAUCUUACUUAUUUACUGUAAGUAAAAUAAGUAUUGUUAUUUUCAUAUUAAGUGCUGACAGGAAAAUACCAUAUUUCUUCUAGGUGGGUGCCCAGUAAUGGAGAAUAUGUGUAAUGUGGGCCCUAUAAGGUAGGUUCUAGAUUUUGCUCAUUUCUGAAAGUACCCAACUGUGGCAGGUGAUGAUACCAUAACUUAUGAAGAAUUAAAACUAAUUGGGUUCAAAUCCCCACUUCUCCAAAUAUGUGAACUUGGCCAAAUUACUUAACUUACUUGAAACACUGUCAAAGUGGCUUAAACACUCCAAACAUCUGUCAAAAUAUGAGCAUAUAUUGACCUUGUUGAGUCAUUGUGAAGCUUAAACUGAACUGAUAGAUGUAAAAUUCUUAGCCAAGAGUAGACUUUCAGCAGAUAUUAACUAUUAUUAGAGCAAGAUGUUUUGAGUAAGAUAUUUCAAAUAAGUCCUUAAAUAAGAUAUUUAUUGAGAAUAAUCAGUAUUGUUUUUCCUGGUGAUUCUGUUUUCUUCAUGAAACACAAGCUAAAGUAUUUCCUUUGAGGAUAGUUUUAAAUUGUCCUUAUUUGGCAGAAAAUUAUUACUUUAAAGAGCAUGCAAAUAAUAAAUGAAGACUAAUCAAAUUUUAAUUAAGCAUCAAAACAUAAAAAUCAAUGAGCUUUUUAAAUCAUCAGAUUGUUUUAACACUUUUGUUUUCUUUCUUCUAGAUAACUUUAAAUUUUCUCUGUUUUAAUUUAUAUGAUAGAAAUGAUGUGUAGAUUUUUUUCUUGGCUGCACCCAUGGCAUGUGGGAGUUCCCAGGCCAGGGAUGGAAUUUGCACUGCAGCUGUGGCCUGUGCCACAGCUGUGGGGCAACUCCAGAUCCUUAAUCCACUGUGCCAUACAGGAAUUCCCUGAUGUGUAGAUAUAUUUAAAAAAUCAUUUUGGUAAAAAAAUGGCUUUCCAUUAUAAAAUACUGUUUUUUAUUUCUGUAUUUUAUCAUAACUUGAGGAUUUAAGAAUCUUAUUUGAUAUAUUUACUGUUUUUCCUCCAACUCCUUGAUAAACUCCUUUUUUUUUUUUUUUUUUUUUUUCCCUUUCAGGGCCUUACCUGCGGCAUAUGGAAGUUCCCAGGCUAGGGGUCGAAUCAGAGCUACAGCUGCUGGCCUACACCAAAGCAACAGAAAUUGCUGGAUCCCAGCUGUCUGCGACCUAUACCAUUGCUCAUGGGUUGGGGAUCUGGCAUUGCUCUGAGCUAUGGUGUAGGUCAAAGAUGCAGCUCAGAUCCUGAGUUGCUGUGGCUGUGGUACUGGCCGGCAACUGUAGCACGUAUUUGACCCCUAGCCUGGGAACCUCCAUAUGCCGGGGAUGUGGGCUUAAAAAAAACAGAAAUAAAAACAAACAAAUGAAAAAACAAAUUGGUGAAAACCACUUAGAAUGAAUUUAUUAGAAUGACCAUUCUGAGCCUUAAGCCUCAAUUGUGUUUGACUUUCUCUUCUCAGCAUUCUCCUCUUUGCUAUAUUUCUGUCUAGCAUUUCUGUUACUAGUAUUCUCCCUAGUAACUUCUUAUACUUUUAGGAACAAAAACAUUCAUUGGUACUGUUAUAAUAGGAGUACAGCCUUGGGGACACUGAAAGCAUGGGAAAGAAAUGUAAAUCAUAGGUACGUUUCUCCAGGAUUCAGAUUAAAUUAAUUAAUAAAGAAUAUGCAUGAAAUGUUUAAGUGAAUUUAUUAAACAGCAUGGGAAAUAAAUUUAAACAUAUAAUGGCUAUGAAUGCUGAAUGUAUGGGGAGUAAAGAAAAGACUAGUCAUUUAAGCAAAGGUUUCUAGAAAAGGGAAGUUUGUGUUUUGAUUUCAAAGGCAACAGUGGAGUUCCCGUCGUGGCGCAGUGGUUAACGAAUCCGACUAGGAACCACGAGGUUGCGGGGUUCGGUCCCUGCCCUUGCUCAGUGGGUUAACGAUCCGGUGUUGCCGUGAGCUGUGGUGUAGGUUGCAGACGCGGCUCGGAUCCCGCGUUGCUGUGGCCCUGGCGUAGGCCGGUGGCUACAGCUCCGAUUCAACCCCUAGCCUGGGAACCUCCAUAUGCCGCGGGAGCGGCCCAAGAAAUAGCAACAACAACAACAACAAAACAACAACAAAAAAGAC
rnacentral:lncRNA from 1 species